CCUAAUUGUUGAGAAAGAGUUGUAUUGCGUGACAGACUCAGAGAACCAGAAUAUUUCAGGGAAGAACGACAAGAUCAACGAGGAGGCUCAAAACAGUAUUGAGUUGAACUUUUGCUGCUAUUCUUGCAAGAACGUAGCUUUAACAAGUGAUGCAUUGUGGGUCCAAGUUACGGCGUCAAAAAAUUCUAUCGAAUGAAUGUGCAGUCGUCCAAAUUUUCUCUUCGCACAGAG